AGAAAAGCUGUUUAAAAGCAAAGCCACCCCACCCCACCGUGGUCUCUAGGAAGCUGCAGAAAGAUCACAACAAUGCUUGAACUUCAGUUAAGAGAAAAGCUUACUGGGAGGACAAUGCCACACAAGUCCAGGAGGAGCCUAUAUGUGCACAAAGCACAAAUGGCUAAUUUCUUGGCCUCACUGACGAGCUGGAGUGUGGGACCGUUCGGAGAGCCAGACAGGCCUCAGUCAGACCCAGAGAUCAACACUUCAGCCCGGCCUGCGUCAUUGCUGAUGAAAAGUGCCUGUCACUCAGAAGGCAGAUUAUCCACACAGAAUGACAGCGAGCAGAUCUCCCCCUCUCUCACCCACAGCAUUGUUCUGGCUGGGUGAUCUGGAGAGUACACCAGGCUCAGAUCAGGAAAUGUAAGAUAGGAAGCAUAAAUGUUUUAAUUAAACAAAUGGCUCUUUUUUCCUAG